CCUUAUCCCAUGACUUUCCUUGGACUUCCCUAAUUUUAAGAUUUACAGAAAUUUUCUUAUGCUUUAAGCCUCUAGGCUAGGUAGUGAAUUUUAAGCGUGAACUCUUAAGUUAACUGUCAGAACCUCCAGUCUAGUGUCCGAUUGAUUCUAACACUAGAGUCAGGAUACACUCCAACUCGGAGACUCAGAAUUUACUCAUCUGAAUAACAGAAAUAAUGUGUGUUUCACAGUUUUGGGUUAAAACAAGUCUGAAAAGGAGUUUAGGCUCUGGGGCUGUAUUACCAGGAGACUAUAUUUUAAUGCUAGGAGACCAACUUUUCGUCAGAGCUCAGGCUGCCACUCCUAACCACCAACUAUUCAUUUCUUACACUGAUCCUAGGCAUGUUUACUGAGUGCGUAUACUGAACCAAGUCCUGAAAGUAUAUCGUUGAUACCUCUGAUAGCUCCAGCCCACGAAGUUAUGAACUCCUAUAAUUGUCAGACUUCCCACCAUUCCUCAUUUCAUAUGUUUUUCACUGGUUCUAUGGCAUCCACGAACUUGUCUGUAUGCUUAUUUAAGAGAGAAAGUCAUGUAAAACAUGAAUCCGGAGUCAUGGCUAGACCUCUAUGGCUCCUGAACCCCACACUAAGGACGAACUCAAACAUAACUUGGGUGAGCUCCAAAGCCUUCCUGGAAGCUGAUGCCCAUCCAAUGGAGAAAGGCGAUAGGAUUUGUUAACCAUCUUAGACCCUUGCUAUGGCACCAGGAACGUGGGGAUCACCAGAAAUCACGGAACUUUAAGCUCAGCUGUGAAAGCCUUGGGUUCCAUCCUUGUGAUCAGAGCAGCUGUGGUGUACCCACUGGAGACCCUCAAAAGAUUGCUUCCACGAACAUGCCCUCCUGAAGAGUCAAGAGCUCAGAGGCACAUCCUUUUCUCAAAUCUUCUGAGAUGUUCUCCAAGCCUUAGGCAUUAUCCACUGGGGCUGGGUACCCCACAGAGUGAAAAAUAAAAGCAAGAAACAAUCCUGGAGGAAGACAAGCUGUGCUCCGUAUCGAACUCCUGUAAUGAAAUGGGAGGUGGAGCCAGAAGAAUCACCUGAAGCCUGUAGGCCUGCUGGCCCGGACUACGCGGCUCAGUAGCGGAAACAGGAGACCGUCCCUUAACGCAAUGCUGCCACUGGGGAAUCCCUUAACUGGGACUAGAACCUCUGUCCUUUGGGUCUCAACACAGACUGAAGACUAGCUGAGACAACAAGUUUCAGGAACUGGUAUCUACUGGAUUUUUGGCCUUUCUGUUAGUCGACAGCCACUUUUGGAUUAGCCAGACCAUAUCCUUUUUGAGACUGACUGCUUCUGCCACCUGCCCGAACCUUGUGUUGGGACAAGACUCCAGGAGCUGGUUUCGAGGAAAUGAAAUAACAAAGCGGAAGCUAAUAAUGAAGACUGAAACCCACCUUCUCUUCAGUGUCCGCCACAGUGAAUUCCAUCAGGUCGAAGCUUUAUAGACCGCAGCAGAGCAAACAAGGCCAAGAGACUGAAGAAUCUCAUUCAAUACUCCAUGCUCAGAGAUUUAUGGUUGUACCCUUUCUCGGAUUCUUCCAAGCUGUAGCCAUGUUGCCUCAAACACGCCACUUACACAAGUUCUGGGGAUUGAGUUUUAGGCCUCAUGGAUCAUAGCAAGUGUCCAACCACUGAGCUACACUGCAAGCCUGGAGCUUGAAGUUUAGAUACAACAGUUCAACCUCAUCUGUUUGCCUGAAUAAAUUGAUGAUACCCAUCCAUGAACUGCCAUCUAGUUGAGGAUGGGUCAGCAAAGAAGAGGAGAGAUCAAUGAAAUAGGAUUACCCAGAAAAAGAACUGUGGAUAACAGCCCAAGAUGGUAUUUUGAAGUGAGUAGACACCUGGAGAAUACAGUCUUCCUGCUACCGGGGUGAUGGAUAAACAUCUUCAAUCAAGACAUCCUGAGGAUCCUACGGGUUUAGAUGAAGCUGGCAUCUAUGUUCUUCUCUAGGAGACUCUCUGGUUGUGUUUGUUUGGAAGGCGACCUCGGUAAGCAUGGAGCUAGAUGUCAACUGACGAGACGCUUCUGAGAGGGACUCAAAACUGCCGACCUUGGGAAUUUGCUUGAGAAGAGAGAAAUUCUUGGCCACAGAGAGAGUGCUGAGAAGACAGGGGAGUGAAAAGAAUGUGUCAACAGAGUGAGCCAAGCCUGGGGGACAUGGCAGAGCACCACAAGAAACCAUUGCUCGGCAAAGGACUCCUCAGAUGAGAGCGUACAAAAUAUGAUCAUCCCUCAUCACCAGGGGUAGCCCUAGGAUCCUUGCCCAGGGUACCACAAUCUUAGAGUGCUCAAGUCCCUUAUAUAAACAGCAAAAUGAAUUAGGGCUGCAUCUCAGCUGGACUGAAUGUGCUAAGCAUUCAAGGGACCCUGUGUUUAAUCACCAGCACUAAAGAAAUGGGUAAACUAGAAUAGUAUAAUAUUCUAUAGACCUAAUAUGACCUAAUGUACUUAUCCAGAUUACUAUUUUAAUAUCUGGCAUAGUAUAGAUGUUAUACAAAUACUCGUGUUAAGAGAUAAUAAGAAAAAAAAAAGAGAGAUGAUGUCAUAGACCUAG
rnacentral:lncRNA from 1 species